GACGAACGCUGGCGGCGUGCCUAAUACAUGCAAGUAGAACGCUGAAGAGAGGAGCUUGCUCUUCUUGGAUGAGUUGCGAACGGGUGAGUAACGCGUAGGUAACCUGCCUUGUAGCGGGGGAUAACUAUUGGAAACGAUAGCUAAUACCGCAUAACAAUGGAUGACACAUGUCAUUUAUUUGAAAGGGGCAAUUGCUCCACUACAAGAUGGACCUGCGUUGUAUUAGCUAGUAGGUGAGGUAACGGCUCACCUAGGCGACGAUACAUAGCCGACCUGAGAGGGUGAUCGGCCACACUGGGACUGAGACACGGCCCAGACUCCUACGGGAGGCAGCAGUAGGGAAUCUUCGGCAAUGGGGGCAACCCUGACCGGGCAACGCCGCGUGAGUGAAGAAGGUUUUCGGAUCGUAAAGCUCUGUUGUAAGUCAAGAACGAGUGUGAGAGUGGAAAGUUCACACUGUGACGGUAGCUUACCAGAAAGGGACGGCUAACUACGUGCCAGCAGCCGCGGUAAUACGUAGGUCCCGAGCGUUGUCCGGAUUUAUUGGGCGUAAAGCGAGCGCAGGCGGUUUGAUAAGUCUGAAGUUAAGGCUGUGGCUCAACCAUAGUUCGCUUUGGAAACUGUCAAACUUGAGUGCAGAAGGGGAGAGUGGAAUUCCAUGUGUAGCGGUGAAAUGCGUAGAUAUAUGGAGGAACACCGGUGGCGAAGGCGGCUCUCUGGUCUGUAACUGACGCUGAGGCUCGAAAGCGUGGGGAGCGAACAGGAUUAGAUACCCUGGUAGUCCACGCCGUAAACGAUGAGUGCUAGGUGUUGGAUCCUUUCCGGGAUUCAGUGCCGCAGCUAACGCAUUAAGCACUCCGCCUGGGGAGUACGACCGCAAGGUUGAAACUCAAAGGAAUUGACGGGGGCCCGCACAAGCGGUGGAGCAUGUGGUUUAAUUCGAAGCAACGCGAAGAACCUUACCAGGUCUUGACAUCCCGAUGCUAUUUCUAGAGAUAGAAAGUUACUUCGGUACAUCGGCGACAGGUGGUGCAUGGUUGUCGUCAGCUCGUGUCGUGAGAUGUUGGGUUAAGUCCCGCAACGAGCGCAACCCCUAUUGUUAGUUGCCAUCAUUCAGUUGGGCACUCUAGCGAGACUGCCGGUAAUAAACCGGAGGAAGGUGGGGAUGACGUCAAAUCAUCAUGCCCCUUAUGACCUGGGCUACACACGUGCUACAAUGGUUGGUACAACGAGUUGCGAGUCGGUGACGGCAAGCUAAUCUCUUAAAGCCAAUCUCAGUUCGGAUUGUAGGCUGCAACUCGCCUACAUGAAGUCGGAAUCGCUAGUAAUCGCGGAUCAGCACGCCGCGGUGAAUACGUUCCCGGGCCU
rnacentral:rRNA from 1 species